ACGCUCGACACCUACGGGAGGCAGCAGGUGGGGAAUAUUGCACAAUGGGGGAAACCCUGAUGCAGCGACGCCGCGUGAGCGAAGAAGUAUUUCGGUAUGUAAAGCUCUAUCAGCAGGGAAGAAAAUGACGGUACCUGACUAAGAAGCCCCGGCUAACUACGUGCCAGUAGCCGCGGUAAUCUGAGCGGGCUGGCAAGGC
rnacentral:rRNA from 1 species